rnacentral:rRNA from 1 species
AUUGAACGCUGGCGGCAUGCCUUACACAUGCAAGUCGAACGGUAACAGGUCUUCGGAUGCUGACGAGUGGCGAACGGGUGAGUAAUACAUCGGAACGUGCCCGAUCGUGGGGGAUAACGGAGCGAAAGCUUUGCUAAUACCGCAUACGAUCUACGGAUGAAAGCAGGGGACCGCAAGGCCUUGCGCGGACGGAGCGGCCGAUGGCAGAUUAGGUAGUUGGUGGGAUAAAAGCUUACCAAGCCGACGAUCUGUAGCUGGUCUGAGAGGACGACCAGCCACACUGGGACUGAGACACGGCCCAGACUCCUACGGGAGGCAGCAGUGGGGAAUUUUGGACAAUGGGCGCAAGCCUGAUCCAGCCAUGCCGCGUGCAGGAUGAAGGCCUUCGGGUUGUAAACUGCUUUUGUACGGAACGAAACGGCUCUUUCUAAUAAAGAGGGCUAAUGACGGUACCGUAAGAAUAAGCACCGGCUAACUACGUGCCAGCCGCCGCCGUAAAAC